rnacentral:rRNA from 1 species
GACGGACGCUGGCGGCGUGCUUAACACAUGCAAGUCGAACGGAAAGGCCCUGCUUUGGUGGGGUGCUCGAGUGGCGAACGGGUGAGUAACACGUGAGUAACCUUCCCUUGACUUUGGGAUAACUUCAGGAAACUGGGGCUAAUACCCGAUCGGAGCUCCUGCUGCAUGGUGGGGGUUGGAAAGUUUCGGCGGUUGGGGAUGGACUCGCGGCUUAUCAGCUUGCUGGUGGGGUAGUGGCUUACCGAGGCUUUGACGGGUAGCCGGCCUGAGAGGGUGACCGGGCACAUUGGGACUGAGAUACGGCGCAGACUGCUACGGGAGGCAGCAGUGGGGAAUAUUGCACAAUGGGCGGAAGCGUGAUAAGGCAACGCCGCGUGCGGGAUGACGGCCUUCGGGUUGUAAACCGCUUUCGCCUGUGACGAAGCGUGAGUGACGGUAAUGGGUAAAGAAGCACCGGCUAACUACGUG